GAUGAACGCUGGCGGCGUGCCUAACACAUGCAAGUCGAACGGAGUCGUUUUGGAAAUCUCUUCGGAGAUGGAAUUCUCGACUUAGUGGCGGACGGGUGAGUAACGCGUGAGCAAUCUGCCUUUAAGAGGGGGAUAACAGUCGGAAACGGCUGCUAAUACCGCAUAAAGCAUUAAAUUCGCAUGUUUUUGAUGCCAAAGGAGCAAUCCGCUUUUAGAUGAGCUCGCGUCUGAUUAGCUAGUUGGCGGGGUAACGGCCCACCAAGGCGACGAUCAGUAGCCGGACUGAGAGGUUGCACGGCCACAUUGGGACUGAGACACGGCCCAGACUCAUACGGGAGGCAGCAGUGGGGAAUAUUGCGCAAUGGGGGAAACCCUGACGCAGCAACGCCGCGUGAUUGAAGAAGGCCUUCGGGUUGUAAAGAUCUUUAAUCAGGGACGAAACAAAUGACGGUACCUGAAGAAUAAGCUCCGGCUAACUACGUG
rnacentral:rRNA from 1 species